UACGGGGGGGGCAAGCGUUGUUCGGAAUUACUGGGCGUAAAGGGCUCGUAGGCGGCCAACUAAGUCGGACGUGAAAUCCCUCGGCUUAACCGGGGAACUGCGUCUGAUACUGGAUGGCUUGAAUCCGGGAGAGGGAUGCGGAAUUCCAGGUGUAGCGGUGAAAUGCGUAGAUAUCUGGAGGAACACCGGUGGCGAAGGCGGCAUCCUGGACCGAGAUUGACACUGAGGAGCGAAAGCUAGGGGAGCAAACGGG
rnacentral:rRNA from 1 species